GACGAACGCUGGCGGCGUGCUUAACACAUGCAAGUCGAACGGAAAGGCCCUGCUUUGGUGGGGUGCUCGAGUGGCGAACGGGUGGGUAACACGUGAGUAACCUGCCCUUGACUUUGGGAUAACUUCAGGAAACUGGGGCUACUUCCUGAUAGUAGAUCCUGCUGCAUGGUGGGGGUUGGAAAGUUUCGGCGGGUGGGGAUUGACUCGCUGGUGAUCGGCUGGUUGGUAGGGGAGUGGCUUACCAAGGCUUUGAAGGGUAGCCGGCCUGAGAGGGUGACCGGGCAAGUUGGGACUGAGCUACGGCCGAGAGUCCUAAGGGAGGCAGCAGUGGGGAAUAUUGCAUGAUGGGGGGAAGCCGGAUGCAGGAACGCUGCGUGCGGGAUUGUGGCCUUCGGGUUGUAGACCGCUUUCGCCUGUAACGAAGCGUUAGUGACGGUAACAGAUAAAGAAGCACCGGCUAACUACGUG
rnacentral:rRNA from 1 species